rnacentral:rRNA from 1 species
AGAUCAGCGGCGGACGGGUGAGUAACACGUGGGCAACCUGCCUGUAAGACUGGGAUAACUUCGGGAAACCGGAGCUAAUACCGGAUAAUCCUUUCCCUCACAUGAGGGAAAGCUGAAAGACGGUUUCGGCUGUCACUUACAGAUGGGCCCGCGGCGCAUUAGCUAGUUGGUGAGGUAACGGCUCACCAAGGCAACGAUGCGUAGCCGACCUGAGAGGGUGAUCGGCCACACUGGGACUGAGACACGGCCCAGACUCCUACGGGAGGCAGCAGUAGGGAAUCUUCCGCAAUGGACGAAAGUCUGACGGAGCAACGCCGCGUGAACGAUGAAGGCUUUCGGGUCGUAAAGUUCUGUUGUCAGGGAAGAACAAGUACCGGAGUAACUGCCGGUACCUUGACGGUACCUGACCAGAAAGCCACGGCUAACUACGUGCCAGCAGCCGCGGUAAUACGUAGGUGGCAAGCGUUGUCCGGAAUUAUUGGGCGUAAAGCGCGCGCAGGCGGUUCCUUAAGUCUGAUGUGAAAGCCCCCGGCUCAACCGGGGAGGGUCAUUGGAAACUGGGGAACUUGAGUGCAGAAGAGGAGAGCGGAAUUCCACGUGUAGCGGUGAAAUGCGUAGAGAUGUGGAGGAACACCAGUGGCGAAGGCGGCUCUCUGGUCUGUAACUGACGCUGAGGCGCGAAAGCGUGGGGAGCGAACAGGAUUAGAUACCCUGGUAGUCCACGCCGUAAACGAUGAGUGCUAAGUGUUARAGGGUUUCCGCCCUUUAGUGCUGCAGCAAACGCAUUAAGCMCUCCGCCUGGGGARUACGGCCGCAAGGCUGAAACUCANGGAAUUGACGGGGGCCC